UACAGAGGGUGCAAGCGUUAAUCGGAAUUACUGGGCGUAAAGCGUGCGUAGACGGUUAUUUAAGUCGGGUGUGAAAGCCCCGGGCUCAACCUGGGAAUUGCAUUCGAGACUGAAUAGCUAGGGUGCGGAAGAGGGAAGCGGAAUUUCCGGUGUAGCGGUGAAAUGCGUAGAUAUCGGAAGGAACACCAGUGGCGAAGGCGGCUCACUGGCCCGAUACUGACGCUGAGGCACGAAAGCGUGGGGAGCAAACAGG
rnacentral:rRNA from 1 species